UUUAUGGAGAGUUUGAUCCUGGCUCAGGAUGAACGCUGGCGGCGUGCCUAAUACAUGCAAGUCGAGCGAACAGAUAAGGAGCUUGCUCCUUUGACGUUAGCGGCGGACGGGU
rnacentral:rRNA from 1 species